UACGUAGGGACCAAGCGUUGUUCGGAUUUACUGGGCGUAAAGGGCGCGUAGGCGGCAAUUCAAGUCAGCUGUGAAAUCUCCGGGCUUAACUCGGAACGGUCAGCUGAUACUGCUUUGCUAGAGUGCAGAAGGGGCAAUCGGAAUUCUUGGUGUAGCGGUGAAAUGCGCAGAUAUCAGGAGGAACACCGGUGGCGAAGGCGGGUCUCUGGGCCGUAACUGACGCUGAGGAGCGAAAGCGUGGGGAGCGAACAGG
rnacentral:rRNA from 1 species